rnacentral:tRNA from 6 species
UACAUAUUAGCUCAUUGGUAGAGCAUUCGACUCUUAAUCGACUGGUAGCAGGUUCAAAUCCUGUAUAUGUGC